rnacentral:tRNA from 1 species
GGAGCAGUACUCAAGAGGCUGAAGAGGCGUCCCUGCUAAGGAUGUAGGCUGGGGUAACUUGGCGCGAGGGUUCAAAUCCCUCCUGCUCCGCCA